rnacentral:sRNA from 1 species
GCGGGGUGUGGUGGCGCAUGCCUGAAAUCCCAGCAACUCAGGAGGCUGAGGCAGGAUGAUCCUGGGUUUAAGACCAGUCUCAGAAAUUUAGUGAGGCCCUAAACCACUUAGUGAGACCCUGUAUCUA